rnacentral:rRNA from 1 species
UACGUAGGGUGCAAGCGUUGUCCGGAAUUACUGGGCGUAAAGGGUGCGUAGGCGGCUUUCUAAGUCGGAUGUGAAAACUCUGGGCUCAACCCAGAGCCUGCAUCCGAAACUGGAGAGCUAGGGUUCUGGAGGGGAAAGCGGAAUUCCUGGUGUAGCGGUGAAAUGCGUAGAUAUCAGGAGGAACACCGGUGGCGAAGGCGGCUUUCUGGACAGAUACCGACGCUGAGGCACGAAAGCUAGGGGAGCAAACAGG